CAUUUCGGGAUAGUGGCAUACAGGCAAUGAGGCGACAGCAGAGGGCAAAAUCAUUGGUGUUUGUAACAACAAACCUUGCACGUUGUCCGUGGUUGAAGCGAAAUGAACCCAGAAGACUGUGACUGCACCUAGUGCUCCCAGAGACGGCAGUUCAUCUAUGAACGGGUCAUGGCGUGGCGUGCCCUCCUGUGCUGAAAUACGUCAAAUUAAGACAUCCAGUAAACCAGGCGGGCCUCAGACCUGCAGACUGAGAGCAGGGGCGGGAGGAAAGUGUCAUGACUGGCCUGUCAUUUCCUGAGUGCGGUUAUACCAGGACGGCGGGCCCGGGGAGUAAGCGGCUCGGCGUGGCGGACGCCCGCCGGGGCCGAUGGCGGGUUUCGGCAUUAACCGCGCCGGGGCCAGCGGGGGUGACGGGCCCCGACCGACCGGCCUCUUCAUUCAUCCGGCCAAUAAAAAGCAGGCGCCCGCCUUUUCCCUGCUAAUUGCCGCAUAACUCCGUCUCGCGGGGACGUCGGGGGAGGUGGCGGGAGGUCGGCCGCCUUUUGAAGGGCUUUUGUUGAGCCGGGCCUUCUGCAGUAUCCCCGAGGAGCCCCAAGCUGAGAAAUGGCCCUCGUACCCAGGAAACGGGACAGGAAGUUGUGCUCUCCUAGUAAAACUGGCCCUCUCAUUUUGGCUCCAAGUACGACCCUCAUUUUACUCAUUAUUUUCGGAGCCUCUCCCUUGGGCUUCAUCGCAUCCGCAAUAGCUAAAGCUCAUGGGGAUAGAGAAGGGCUGUGCGUUGUCAUAGGCAAAACUGAUGAACUUAAUGUCUUCUUAAUCCAAUCGUUGCAGAGGAUUUAUAUUGUCUAACAUUAAAUUUUCACAUUUAAACUGCCUAGAGUAUAAUUUUUUGGAGCCUCUUCAGAGAAUAACUUGAGUGAUGGUUUAAUCAUUUCUGUGGGGCUUUCCGCUAAGAUUUUAUUUAAGUUUUUUAAGUGCGUUUUACUGCAAAACAUAGGGUAAGUACGUCUUAACUGCCUGCCAAUGAACACUCACAAAGCUGUUUCACAUUUCAAACAACUUUUGGUUGUUGAUGAAAAGUUUUUUUUGGAGCUGUUAUAAAAGAUGAAAUUUAA